rnacentral:rRNA from 1 species
ACUAGAUCGGCAUCGAACUAGUAUUAAAAGGAGCGAAUGCUCCGCUACUGGAUGGACUCGCGGUGCAUUAGCUAGUUGGUGAGGUAGAGGCUCACCAAGGCGAUGAUGCAUAGCCGACCUGAGAGGGUGAACGGCCACAUUGGGACUGAGACACGGCCCAGACUCCUACGGGAGGCAGCAGUAGGGAAUUUUCGUCAAUGGGGGAAACCCUGAACGAGCAAUGCCGCGUGAGUGAAGAAGGAUUUCGGUCU